rnacentral:rRNA from 1 species
GACGAACGCUGGCGGCGUGAUUAACACAUGCAAGUCGAACGGUAAGGCCCUUCGGGGUACACGAGUGGCGAACGGGUGAGUAACACGUGGGUGAUCUGCCCUGCACUUCGGGAUAAGCCUGGGAAACUGGGUCUAAUACCGGAUAGGACUCCGGACUGCAUGGUCUGGGGUGGAAGGCUUUUGCGGUGUGGGAUGGGCCCGCGGCCUUUCAUCUUGUUGGAGGGGUGAUGGCCUACCACGGCGACGACGGGUAGCCGGCCUGACCGGGUGACCGGCCACACUGGGACUGAGAUACGGCCCAGACUCCUACCGGAGGCAGCAGGGGGGAAUAUUGCACAAUGGGCGCAAGCCUGAUGCAGCGACGCCGCGUGAGGGAUGACGGCCUUCGGGUUGUAAACCUCUUUCAGCAUCGACGAAGCGAAAGUGACGGUAGGUGCAGAAGAAGGACCGGCCAACUACGUGCCAGCCGCCGCAGUAA